CCUACGGGAGACAGCAGUGAGGAAUAUUGGUCAAUGGACGAGAGUCUGAACCAGCCAAGUAGCGUGAAGGAUGAAUGCUCUAUGGGUUGUAACCUUCUUUUAUAAAGGAAUAAAACGAGACACGAGUGCAUUUUUGCAUGUACUUUAUGAAUAAGCAUCGGCUCACUCCGUGCCAGCAGCCGCGGUAAUACGGAGGAUCCGAGCGUUGUCCGGAUUUAUUGGGUUUAAUGGGAGCGUAGAUGGGUUGUUCAGUCAGUUGUGAAAGUUUGCGGCUUAACCCUAAAAUUGCUAUUGAUACUGGCAGUCUAGAGUACAGUAGAGGUAAGCGGAAUUCGUGGUGUAGCGGUGAAAUGCUUAGAUAUCACGAAGAACCCCGAUUGCGAAGGCAGCUUACUAAACUGUGACUGACAUUGAUGCUCGAAAGUGUGGGUAUCAAACAGGAUUAGAUACCCCAGUAGUC
rnacentral:rRNA from 1 species